rnacentral:lncRNA from 1 species
AUGAUUCAAAAGAAGAUAUCCAUUAUAAACAAUAAGUUCAUACAACCCCAAGAAUAUAAAAUAAAAUAUAAAACCCGUGUCCCUUUAUUAGGGCUGCAUCCAGCCCUGGAGAAGAGCUCAGGCUUCCAUAGAGUGGUGGACGGCAGCAGCAGCACAGCAGCGGGCUCCCAUUCCUUCCUUCUCUUUCUCCUUUGAAAUAUUUCCAAAAUAGCCAAACCUCUCUCCCUCCUCUGCUUUUUUUUUAUUUCUUUUGUGGGAACUCCCUUGUGAAGAGCUCGGUGGGAGAAGAAGAAAGGGGGCAGUCCCCUCCCCUAGUGGGGAAGAGGAGGAAUGCCCUGGUCUUCACGUCCGACUCCUUUAAAUAGACUUCCCAUCUCCCUGUUCCGAGUGUAGAUAAGGAUCAAUGGCUGCGGGAUAAGGAUGGAGGCUGAGAAGAUUUCGGAUGCUGGGAGGAAGGCUUUGUUUGGAUGCCGUGAAGCUCGGGAGUUUGGCUUGAUUUGCGAACGGGUUUGAACGUGAAACAGGGGAAAGAAGUUGGGAUCUCGGCUGAAAGGAUGUUAUUCCGAAACAGGGGAAGAUGCAGGACGUGGCAGACUCGGGAUGUUCCAUGAGAUCACGCAGGAAGAUGGGAUUUGAGUUUAUCCCGUGGAUGAAGGGG